rnacentral:rRNA from 1 species
UACGGAGGGAGCUAGCGUUGUUCGGAAUUACUGGGCGUAAAGCGCACGUAGGCGGCUUUGUAAGUUAGAGGUGAAAGCCCGGGGCUCAACCCCGGAAUUGCCUUUAAGACUGCAUCGCUUGAAUCCAGGAGAGGUGAGUGGAAUUCCGAGUGUAGAGGUGAAAUUCGUAGAUAUUCGGAAGAACACCAGUGGCGAAGGGCGGCUCACUGGACUGGUAUUGACGCUGAGGUGGCGAAAGCGUGGGGAGCAAACAGG